rnacentral:rRNA from 1 species
GUGGGGAAUCUUGCGCAAUGGGCGAAAGCCUGACGCAGCCAUGCCGCGUGAAUGAUGAAGGUCUUAGGAUUGUAAAAUUCUUUCACCGGGGACGAUAAUGACGGUACCCGGAGAAGAAGCUCCGGCUAACUUCGUGCCAGCAGCCGCGGUAAUACGAAGGUGGCUAGCGUUGCUCGGAAUUACUGGGCGUAAAGGGCGCGUAGGCGGACAGCUUAGUCAGAGGUGAAAGCCCAGGGCUCAACCUUGGAAUUGCCUUUGAUACUGGCUGUCUUGAGUACGGGAGAGGUGAGUGGAACUCCGAGUGUAGAGGUGAAAUUCGUAGAUAUUCGGAAGAACACCAGUGGCGAAGGCGACGCACUGGCCCGUUACUGACGCUGAGGCGCGAAAGCGUGGGGAGCAAACAGGAUUAGAAACCCCGGUAGUCC